rnacentral:lncRNA from 1 species
CACCAUGGCCGGCUAAUUUUUUUCUAUUAUUAGUAGAGACAGGGGUCUCGCUCUUGUUCAGGCUGGUUUCAAAUUCCUGAGCUCAAGUGAACCUCCGUCCUUGCCCUCCCAGAGAGCUGGGAUUACAGGCAUGAGCCACUGCGUCCAGCCCAGAGCAGUGUUUUAAUUGUAGAAAUUUUUUGAAAGAUGGGGAAUGUAGAUAUUUCUGCACUUUUGUGUUAUGAUUGGACAGCUGCAGCAGAGAAUUGGACUUAGCUGUGACAGCCUGACAGUAUCCUUUGUCCAGUAGUAAGUAGCUGUUUCUGUCGUUUAAAUAGUGAGGGAUAGAAGUCCAUGAACUGUCAAACUCUAACCUGUCCUUGACUUCAGGGAACGAUGACAUCAGUUGGAAUUUGGCAUUGGAGGUUGUUUGCAGCUAAUGAAACUUUUCUGUUAUUAAGAUCAACAUUUGAGACUGGCGUUCCAAGAAUUCUCCAAAGCCUGUUCACAUGCAGUUUGAAGAGCCCUUUGAACAUCAAAUGGCUCUCACAAAAGAAGGCUUUUUAUCAACUGAAUGUGAAGGGGAACAUGAUUCAAAGGAAAAGAAUCCCACCACGGGCUUUUUCUGAGCUCCUAAAGGAAAGUGGAACUCAGCACUUGGAGAAGUGACUGUCACCUUGGAAUCUAACCAAACCCCAGAGCCUGGAGGACUCGGGCUCCUCAGGAAAUUUCCAGAAGGCUUGACUGAAGUGUGGCAGUGAUGGAGACCAUCGAGGAGGCUUCCUAGCACAGACCAGAAAUGGCAGCGACUGCAGUGCAGGUUCAGCUGUUUCAAGCUAGCGACUGCAGGCGCUGGCAGCACUCCGCUAACAUGUGCGGACAGUGAUGUGCUAGAAAUGAUUCUUUCUGACUACAGCUGCUUGUGGUGAUGCCCUGAGGGCACAGGAAAGGGAUGUGAAGGUAAGGCUGAGUGUCUUUCUGUGUCUUUUUGAAUUUGUUUAAGGGAUUGAAGUAUCCUGUCUGCGAUGUCUUACAGACUGAAGGGUAUGAGGGACUGAGGAAAUUGGGAAAAUACAGAGGAGUUUGAUGGAUCUAAAUUUAGAUGGUAAUAGGUGAUUACUUUGGACAGGGCCCUUGUAUUAGGCAGAGUCCUGUGUUACAGCAGAUGACCAAGGACUUAGUGGGCAGGCUGAUGCAGAGCGUGAUGAAGAGCCUGUUACAGUGAUCUUGGAGAGUGUCCCAAAGUGUAGUAAGUUGCGAUUCUGUUAGCUGAGAAAUGGAUUUUCUAAAUAUUUACUGUGUGG